ACCAAGAAGGAAACGCUAAUGAGUGGGCAAAAGACGCAGAUAGGGAGGAAAGAGAAGGCCGCCUGAGAAAGGAAGAAAGAUGACCCUAAUCCUGUUUCCUCACAGAGAAAACAGAAGCAACCAGAAAAGAGAUUCAAACGCCACACGUAUGUCCUUCCAGCACCCACGUAUGUCCCUGUCUUCCGCCUCUCAUCUGCUGUGAAUGAACACACACUCCCAGCUAAAGCUACACCUUCCAGCUACACACAGAGCCCUGUACUGUGCAGAGUCCAGCUGUCAACCCACAAUUCUCACCCUACUCCCCCUUGGCGCCAUCAAUAAAGGCUAGGGUCUUUCACAGAAGCUGGAAAUGAUUGUUUACAGAAGAUCCCAAAGAGUCUCCUGCCUCUGCCCCCUCGCACUGGGGUUACAGGUGUGAGCAACAACGCCCAGUUUUUACAUGGGUGCCGAGGAUCUGAACCCAGUUCCUCACACUUGUUCAGCAAUCCCUUUCACCACUGAGUUUCCCCCCCCCCCACCAGUUCCUUUCAAGAUUCGUUUUUACGAGCAAAAAUGAUAAGAACUUAAAGUAGAUAAUGAAUGAGCAAGGAUGAAAUCAAUGCAGCACUCCGGCCGCUGACCGCUGUGUAACAUCCACCCCCAAAGUCAGACGCUACAAAUGAUAUCGUUUACUUACUGCAUUCCAGGCUGCCAUCUGAACAGGCCUCAGUAGGGGCAGCUUGUGUCUGCGCCACACGCUGUCAGCUGGGGCAAAUCAAGCCAAAGCUGUCGCGUGUGCCUGCACGUUCGUGCUUUUAGCAUGUCAGGGAUCCUCCUCCGUCUCACAGAGUCUGACUUUCAAGCAUUGUUAGGCUUUAUUCUCAAAACAGUUCUUGGAAGCUAUGAGAACCCUCUUGCUUUUCUCAAGUUGAAUGGCCAAGGUAGCAAAGA